rnacentral:rRNA from 1 species
GAUGAACGCUGGCGGCGUGCCUAAUACAUGCAAGUCGAGCGAACAGACGAGGAGCUUGCUCCUCUGACGUUAGCGGCGGACGGGUGAGUAACACGUGGAUAACCUACCUAUAAGACUGGGAUAACUUCGGGAAACCGGAGCUAAUACCGGAUAAUAUAUUGAACCGCAUGGUUCAAUAGUGAAAGACGGUUUUGCUGUCACUUAUAGAUGGAUCCGCGCCGCAUUAGCUAGUUAGUAAGGUAACGGCUUACCAAGGCAACGAUGCGUAGCCGACCUGAGAGGGUGAUCGGCCACACUGGAACUGAGACACGGUCCAGACUCCUACGGGAGGCAGCAGUAGGGAAUCUUCCGCAAUGGGCGAAAGCCUGACGGAGCAACGCCGCGUGAGUGAUGAAGGUCUUCGGAUCGUAAAACUCUGUUAUUAGGGAAGAACAAAUGUGUAAGUAACUAUGCACGUCUUGACGGUACCUAACCAGAAAGCCACGGCUAACUACGUG